GCCGGGGUCCUGCGCGAUGUGAAUCUGUGAACCGUGUCAGGGUGGGAACACAGCAGCACUAAGCAGAAGCUCCAUGUGCCGCAGGGUCGCCUCGGUUUU
rnacentral:SRP_RNA from 1 species